rnacentral:lncRNA from 1 species
GUUUCUUGACCUAAGAGAAUUGUGUAGUUUCUAACUUCUAUGGUUUAUAGCUUUCUUGUUAAACAUAUACUACCAAACCAUCUUCAACAAACUUAUCUUUUCUAUAAUUCUCUUUUUGUUAUUUCUUUGGAAUUAUUUUUAACCUCCUCUUCUUACUCUAAAUAUAAUCAAGACUAGUAAAUAAUUAAAAAAAAAACAAAUCAUUUAAAUUCCACAAAGGAAAAAAAAC